rnacentral:rRNA from 1 species
GACGAACGCUGGCGGCGUGCUUAACACAUGCCAGUCGAACGGUAAGGCUCCAGCUUGCUGGGGUACACGAGUGGCGAACGGGUGAGUAACACGUGGGUGACCUGCCCUGCACUUCGGGAUAAGCCUGGGAAACUGGGUCUAAUACCGGAUAGGACCAUGGUGUGGAUACUGUGGUGGAAAGUUUUUUCGGUGUGGGAUGGGCCCGCGGCCUAUCAGCUUGUUGGUGGGGUAAUGGCCUACCAAGGCGGGGACGGGUAGCCGGCCUGAGAGGGUGGACGGCCACAUUGGGACUGAGACACGGCCCAGACUCCUACGGGAGGCAGCAGUGGGGAAUAUUGCACAAUGGGCGGAAGCCUGAUGCAGCGACGCCGCGUGGGGGAUGACGGCCUUCGGGUUGUAAACUCCUUUCACCAUCGACGAAGGGUUUCUGACGGUAGAUGGAGAAGAAGCACCGGCUAACUACGUG